UACAGAGGGGGCAAGCGUUGUUCGGAAUUACUGGGCGUAAAGGGCGCGUAGGCGGCCUCUUAAGUCGAACGUGAAAUCCCCGGGCUCAACCCGGGAACUGCGUCCGAUACUGGGAGGCUUGAAUCCGGGAGAGGGAUGUGGAAUUCCAGGUGUAGCGGUGAAAUGCGUAGAUAUCUGGAGGAACACCGGUGGCGAAGGCGGCAUCCUGGACCGGUAUUGACGCUGAGGCGCGAAAGCUAGGGAGCAAACGGG
rnacentral:rRNA from 1 species